CUUAGCUACUACCAGUUUUACAUAAUAUGAUUAUUUAUACUAAUUUUUCCCUCUUGUAAACCCCCUUCAAUUAUUGAACUAUAUUUUGUGGUGUUAAUGAACUCCCUUUCCUUAGUGAGUGUACACAUUUGAUUAGAAGAGGCCAAAAUUACUUGUCAACAAUAACCUAGCAUCCACCUGUCACUUUAGCGAAUUAUAUAAAAUCAGAUACUGAAACCAGGAGUCAAUAUUAAAAUAUCGAGAAAGGAGAAAGAAAAAGAGUAAAAGGAAAAUUUAAUGGUACUCCCAAUGAAAUUUGUUGAGUCAAGAAGAGCAACAUAUGCAAGGCAAUUUGUCCUUUAAAUAGUUAGAAUUCCUAAAGAGAAUCCAAAAGUGGUUUCUCGUCGAAACUUGUGGAAAACACUGCAUCUCUACCAAAUACUAACGUGUAAGGGACCAAUCCAGUACCUUCAAGGAUAGCCGUAUUAUAUGAAAAAACGGCAAAUCGAAGCCAUUCAUCCCAGUUGUGUGGACCAUCAAAAUUACGCAAAUACUUAAUCAGAGUAUGAUGACUACGUUUGAGUGAUCCAAGACUUUGAGGAUGUAUCCCCAUUUCAACUUUGAUUUUCCAGUACGGCACUUCCCAAAUUCACGGAUUCGCCAGAAACUAAAGGAGUUCCCUGAUUAUUACUUGGCACUUCCUCAGGCGUAUCUCCAGAUCGCAAGUUAUAAAAUAAGGGAGAGAAUUUUUUCACUGUCACUCACAAGUGGCUACGCUUUUUCAGUUCUGGUCUUCAAAAAUCAAAAGUGUUCUUUUGCUGACAAGACUGGUCCAAAUGCCGAAGCCCAAAAUGAUCCAAGAUCCUGAUCCUGCGUUGCCGUAAUCCCCUUGUGGGCCGGUCCCUCGUUACCGUAACCCUUCAAGGGCCCGGUGGCUGCUUCCGAUUCGAGCCUUGGCUGAACCUCUCAGUCUCUCGCGCUGACAGUUCCUGGGCCUUCAAUGUAACCGUCCCAAGAUUAUCCGCCAACACUCAAAACCAAUUAAGGCGCUCAUACACUUGAGAAUUCAAAUUCCCAAGGUUUUAGAAAACUGAACUCAAGGUGCAGCAAUCCCACCGCUGCCACCAAUUGUUACGUCCAAUUACCUUGAAAGUUAGGUCUCAGGAAAUUUUAAUAUUUGAACGAAAUAA